rnacentral:rRNA from 1 species
GACGUAGGAUGCAAGCGUUGUCCGGAAUUAUUGGGCGUAAAGAGUUCGUAGGCGGUUGCCUAAGUCUGAUGUUAAAUACUGGAGCUCAACUCCGGCAUGGCAUUGGAAACUGGGCGGCUAGAGUGUGGUAGAGGUCUCGGGAAUUCCAGGUGUAGCGGUGAAAUGCGUAGAUAUCUGGAGGAACGCCGGUGGCGAAAGCGCGAGACUGGGCCUAACUGACGCUGAGGAACGAAAGCCAGGGGAGCGAAAGGG